CUCGGGUGACGAGUGGCGGACGGGUGAGUAAUGUCUGGGGAUCUGCCCGAUAGAGGGGGAUAACCACUGGAAACGGUGGCUAAUACCGCAAACGUCGCAGACCAAAGAGGGGGACCUUCGGGCCUCUCACUAUCGGAUGAACCCAGAUGGGAUUAGCUAGUAGGCGGGGUAACGGCCCACCUAGGCGACGAUCCCUAGCUGGUCUGAGAGGAUGACCAGCCACACUGGAACUGAGACACGGUCCAGACUCCUACGGGAGGCAGCAGUGGGGAAUAUUGCACAAUGGGCGCAAGCCUGAUGCAGCCAUGCCGCGUGUAUGAAGAAGGCCUUCGGGUUGUAAAGUACUUUCAGCGGGGAGGAAGGCGAUGUGGUUAAUAACCGCG
rnacentral:rRNA from 1 species